GCCGCCCUAUGCCCCUCCGCCUACCGCGCCUCCCUCCGCUUGCAGGAUCCAGCACGAACUGCUGCCCUCCGCCGAGUACCUGCAAUCGAUCCCGACCUGACCUCAUUCUCCCCUGCCCGUGCCACAUAUCGAGCGCAUCUACGGGCGUCGCAGCAUGUGGAGCGAUUGGCGGCGUUGCUUAGACUCCGCACAUGGGUGACUCACGCUCGCAUGCCAUGGUUGGAUUUGGGGGCGACCGCUCCAUUCAGGGCCUCACCACUCGCGCGCCCAUGGCAGCCACAAAGGUCCCGGAUGGCCCUCCUGUGGAGGACUGAGGAGGACGUGAGGAGGGCAACGCACGAACAGUGUGCGGGGGUGGAGGCCACCGGUACAGGAAGAAGAGUGGCUAUACUGCUUCCCUGACUCGCUCAUCAUUGCCUCGUGGGUAGCCAUACUCAACUCUCUCGAUGGACACGGCGACGGCAAACAAGAGGUAACACUAAUGCAAGAAGAUCAAUUGCGCUCCAGCAAAUAGGUGCGCACUGAGAAAAUAUAAGCUACAAGAUAGCCAGGUUGAUUUUCCGGAAGAUCUAGUUGCGGAUCUUCCUCAGAACGGAUGUUGAUUGUCAAAUUCGUAUCAAGAUAAGAGCAAUUGCUGAAAGGGGACCUGAUGUUCCUCCUGCAGCAGCAGAGACCGAAUCAUGCUCCUGCAGCCCCUGCAGGGCAAGCAAGCUAAGGGGCAUUUACUCAAUGGAUCAUGCUAAUUAUGUGAAAUGGGCAUCUAGACUUGGCCGAGCAUCACAAUAACCUCGCCGAAGUUGCUCAUUCGGUGAUUAUGAAUUUUAAUUCCCAUCUGAAAUGUUCUACGUUCCUUUCCAUUGUUUUUUUUAAAAGACUCCUUGCCAUUAUAUAUAUGCAUGUCUUAUGACUCAGAUGUACAAAUAUACCUUGUAAGAUGCCGUUACCCCAUAGCAUAUGGGGAUCCUUCAAAUUUAAAAAAAUAUUCAAUACAAAUGUUGCUCAUA